GAUGAACGCUGGCGGCGUGCCUAAUACAUGCAAGUCGAGCGAACAGACGAGGAGCUUGCUCCUCUGACGUUAGCGGCGGACGGGUGAGUAACACGUGGAUAACCUACCUAUAAGACUGGGAUAACUUCGGGAAACCGGAGCUAAUACCGGAUAAUAUAUUGAACCGCAUGGUUCAAUAGUGAAAGACGGUUUUGCUGUCACUUAUAGAUGGAUCCGCGCCGCAUUAGCUAGUUGGUAAGGUAACGGCUUACCAAGGCAACGAUGCGUAGCCGACCUGAGAGGGUGAUCGGCCACACUGGAACUGAGACACGUUCCAGACUCCUACGGGAGGAAGCAGUAGGGAAUCUUCCGCAAUGGGCGAAAGCCUGACGGAGCAACGCCGCGUGAGUGAUGAAGGUCUUCGGAUCGUAAAACUCUGUUAUUAGGGAAGAACAAAUGUGUAAGUAACUAUGCACGUCUUGACGGUACCUAAUCAGAAAGCCACGGCUAACUACGUG
rnacentral:rRNA from 1 species